GACGAACGCUGGCGGCGUGCUUAACACAUGCAAGUCGAACGAAGAGCGAUGGAAGCUUGCUUCUAUCAAUCUUAGUGGCGAACGGGUGAGUAACGCGUAAUCAACCUGCCCUUCAGAGGGGGACAACAGUUGGAAACGACUGCUAAUACCGCAUACGAUCUAAUCUCGGCAUCGAGGAUAGAUGAAAGGUGGCCUCUACAUGUAAGCUAUCACUGAAGGAGGGGAUUGCGUCUGAUUAGCUAGUUGGAGGGGUAACGGCCCACCAAGGCGAUGAUCAGUAGCCGGUCUGAGAGGAUGAACGGCCACAUUGGGACUGAGACACGGCCCAGACUCCUACGGGAGGCAGCAGUGGGGAAUCUUCCGCAAUAGACGAAAGUCUGACGGAGCAACGCCGCGUGAGCGAUGACGGCCUUCGGGUUGUAAAGCUCGGUUAAUCGGGACGAAAGGCCUUCUUGCGAAUAGUGAGAAGGAUUGACGGUACCGGAAUAGAAAGCCACGGCUAACUACGUG
rnacentral:rRNA from 1 species